rnacentral:lncRNA from 1 species
UAACUCAGACUAAUUUUUCCUACUAACCAUUUAGACAUGGAGAGUACAAAUAACAUGCGAGUUAUUUUCAAAGACGAAGCUCAAAGAAUACCCUAUGAAGUCUUGGCUGAAAGAACCAUUUCAACAACCCGAUACCCUAACUUCCCUAGCUUGAUAUUGUAAUACCCCAAAAUUUACCCUUCAUUUUUCCCGAAAAAAAAAACGAAAAAAAACGAAGAAAAAAAAAACGAAAAAAAACGAAAAAAAAAAAAGAAAAAAAAAAUAAUAAUUU